rnacentral:rRNA from 1 species
AGGGCGCACGGUGGAUGCCUUGGCACCAGGAACCGAUGAAGGACGUGGGAGGCCGCGAUAGGCCCCGGGGAGCUGUCAACCGAGCUGUGAUCCGGGGGUGUCCGAAUGGGGAAACCCGGCAGUCGUCAUGGGCUGUCACCCACUGCUGAACACAUAGGCAGUGUGGAGGGAACGCGGGGAAGUGAAACAUCUCAGUACCCGCAGGAAGAGAAAACAACCGUGAUUCCGGGAGUAGUGGCGAGCGAAACUGGAUGAGGCUAAACCGUAUGUGUGUGAUACCCGGCAGGGGUUGCGCAUGCGGGGUUGUGGGAGCGAGCUUCGGUCGUCUGCCGGCGGCUGGGUGAGUCAGAAACCAUUGCGAUAGGCGAAGGGCAUGCGAAAGGCCCGGCGUAGAGGGUAAGACCCCCGUAGCUGAAAUCGUGGUGGCUUGCUUGCUUGUUUCCCAAGUAGCACGGGGCCCGAGAAAUCCCGUGUGAAUCUGGCGGGACCACCCGCUAAGCCUAAAUAUUCCCUGGUGACCGAUAGCGGAUAGUACCGUGAGGGAAUGGUGAAAAGUACCGCGGGAGCGGAGUGAAAUAGUACCUGAAACCGUGUGCCUACAAGCCGUGGGAGCGUCGGGCAUCAGCUUGCUGGUGUCUCGUGACUGCGUGCCUUUUGAAGAAUGAGCCUGCGAGUUUGCGGUGUGUUGCGAGGUUAACCCGUGUGGGGAAGCCGUAGCGAAAGCGAGUCCGAAUAGGGCGGUGUAGUAGCGCGCUCAAGACCCGAAGCGGAGUGAUCUAGCCAUGGGCAGGUUGAAGCGGAGGUAAGACUUCGUGGAGGACCGAACCCACCAGGGUUGAAAACCUGGGGGAUGACCUGUGGUUAGGGGUGAAAGGCCAAUCAAACUCCGUGAUAGCUGGUUCUCCCCGAAAUGCAUUUAGGUGCAGCGUCGUGUGUUUCUUGCCGGAGGUAGAGCACUGGAUAGGCGAUGGGCCCUACCGGGUUACUGACCUUAGCCAAACUCCGAAUGCCGGUAAGUGAGAGCGCGGCAGUGAGACUGUGGGGGAUAAGCUCCAUGGUCGAGAGGGAAACAGCCCAGAGCAUCGACUAAGGCCCCUAAGCGUACGCUAAGUGGGAAAGGAUGUGGAGUCGCAGAGACAACCAGGAGGUUGGCUUAGAAGCAGCCAUCCUUGAAAGAGUGCGUAAUAGCUCACUGGUCAAGUGAUUCCGCGCCGACAAUGUAGCGGGGCUCAAGCGUACCGCCGAAGUCGUGUCAUUGCAGCAUGAGACCUAACGGUUGUUGUGAUGGGUAGGGGAGCGUCGUGUGCCGGGUGAAGCAGCCGUGUGAGCGAGUUGUGGAUGGUUCACGAGUGAGAAUGCAGGCAUGAGUAGCGAUUCACACGUGGGAAACGUGUGCGCCGAUUGACUAAGGGUUCCUGGGUCAAGCUGAUCUGCCCAGGGUAAGUCGGGACCUAAGGCGAGGCCGACAGGCGUAGUCGAUGGACAACCGGUUGAUAUUCCGGUACCCGCUUUGAAGCGCCAGCGCUGAACCAGGCGAUGCUAAGUCCGUGAAGCCGCCCUGGAUCCUUCGGGUGAAGGGGAGUGGUGGAGCCGACGGUCCAGACCUGUAGUAGGUGAGUGAUGGGGUGACGCAGGAAGGUAGUCCAGCCCGGGCGGUGGUUGUCCCGGGGUAAGGGUGUAGCCCGAGGGGUAGGUAAAUCCGUCUCUCAUAUAAGGGUGAGACCUGAUGCCGAGCCGAUUGUGGUGAAGUGGAUGAUCCUAUGCUGUCGAGAAAAGCCUCUAGCGAGUUUCAUGGCGGCCCGUACCCUAAACCGACUCAGGUGGUCAGGUAGAGAAUACCGAGGCGUUCGGGUGAACUAUGGUUAAGGAACUCGGCAAAAUGCCCCCGUAACUUCGGGAGAAGGGGGGCCAUUGCUGGUGAUCACCCUUGCGGUGUGAGCUGGUGGUGGCCGCAGAGACCAGCGAGAAGCGACUGUUUACUAAAAACACAGGUCCGUGCGAAGCCGUAAGGCGAUGUAUACGGACUGACGCCUGCCCGGUGCUGGAACGUUAAGGGGACCGGUUAGUCACAUUUCGGUGUGGCGAAGCUGAGAACUUAAGCGCCAGUAAACGGCGGUGGUAACUAUAACCAUCCUAAGGUAGCGAAAUUCCUUGUCGGGUAAGUUCCGACCUGCACGAAUGGCGUAACGACUUCUCGACUGUCUCAACCAUAGGCCCGGUGAAAUUGCAUUACGAGUAAAGAUGCUCGUUUCGCGCAGCAGGACGGAAAGACCCCGGGACCUUUACUACAGCUUGAUAUUGGUGUUCGGUUCGGCUUGUGUAGGAUAGGUGGGAGACUGUGAAGCCGCAACGCCAGUUGUGGUGGAGUCGUUGUUGAAAUACCACUCUGGUCGUGCUGGAUGUCUAACCUGGGUCCGUGAUCCGGAUCAGGGACAGUGUCUGGUGGGUAGUUUAACUGGGGCGGUUGCCUCCUAAAGGGUAACGGAGGCGCCCAAAGGUUCCCUCAGCCUGGUUGGCAAUCAGGUGUUGAGUGUAAGUGCACAAGGGAGCUUGACUGUGAGACUGACGGGUCGAGCAGGGACGAAAGUCGGGACUAGUGAUCCGGCGGUGGCUUGUGGAAGCGCCGUCGCUCAACGGAUAAAAGGUACCCCGGGGAUAACAGGCUGAUCUUCCCCAAGAGUCCAUAUCGACGGGAUGGUUUGGCACCUCGAUGUCGGCUCGUCGCAUCCUGGGGCUGGAGUCGGUCCCAAGGGUUGGGCUGUUCGCCCAUUAAAGCGGUACGCGAGCUGGGUUUAGAACGUCGUGAGACAGUUCGGUCCCUAUCCGCUGUGCGCGUAGGAGUCUUGAGAAGGGCUGUCCCUAGUACGAGAGGACCGGGACGGACGAACCUCUGGUGUGCCAGUUGUUCUGCCAAGGGCAUGGCUGGUUGGCUACGUUCGGGAGGGAUAACCGCUGAAAGCAUCUAAGCGGGAAGCCUGCUUCGAGAUGAGGGCUCCCACCUCCUUGA